ACUUGUUUUGAGCAGUUCAAAAUGCUUUGGAAAUGUUUCAAUUAGAUGGGCAGCUAUUGUGGGUAUCAUGCUGAAAAAACAAACUAGAAAUAUCAGGGUGAAUACAUGAGCAAUGUUUGUUGCAAUGACUUGAGAUUUUUUUUUUUUUAGGGCGCAUUUUGAUUAUUAUAUUAUAUUUUCUUUCCUUUCUGGACUUCUGGAAUGUGUCUUAGCACUCUUCAGAGUAACUCAGCAGUGAUGGCACCUCACUCCUUCUACAACAGAGCUGUAACCAGCACUCUGCUGGAGCAUCCCCUCCCUGGGUAACUUGGUGCACAUCAGUAAAUCGAGUCCAGGGCUGCACAGACCGAAGUCCACAGCAGUUUUCAAGUGCUUAAAGACGUGCUUCAAUAUUUCCAGGACCAGGGCCUGCCUUCCCCCCUUCCCCCAGCAGGGAAUGGUGCUUUUCCAGAGGCUUUUGCCCGUGUGCUUGUGGAAAUCUGUCCCUUUAAGUCUAGCAGAGCUGAACUGCUCCAGUCUUCCCGUGGCCAUUUUGCAAGUGCUGACUGCUGGGUGCAUGUUCUGGUUAGUCCCUGUCCUGCUUUUCCACAUGCCUCUCCUUCCACCUCUGCAGCUCACACAUGUGAUGAUCCAAAAAGCCUCACCCAGAGCAGGAAAGAGCCUUUCAUCUGAUGUUACAGUUGAACAGCUGAAUUCUCCCUCGCUUUCCGAAAUCUCUGCAAGAUGUUUGCCACCCAACAGCUCCGAACUCCCUGCAUGUUUCAGCACUUCCUUUGCUGUCCUCACACUCUCCAUUGGAAUAUUUUUGUUUAGAGGAAAGGACCAUGCUACCUGCCUCCUUAUCAGCCUCUCCUGGAUGAAUUAGCUGGGCUGUCAAUGACUCUGUCUGCUGUCUGUGACACAGGUGAAGAGUGACAAUGUGCCGUGUUUUGGAGAGGGCCAACACUGCACCCACAGCAACCUUUUAUAGAAGGUAUACCCAGAUUCUCACAAGGCGAGUUUAUGUGAACUGAGAAAUUGUCUUCCUGUCAAAAAUCACCUCUGGAAGUGCUCAAGGACAGGUUGGAUGUGGCUCUGAGAAAUCUGGUCUAGUGGAAGGUGUCCCUGCCCAUGGCAGGGGUGUUGGAAUGAGAUCAUCUUUAAGGUCAUUCCCAAAUCCAACCAUUACAGGAUAUUCUGGGCAUCUGAACCCUUGGACAUGCAGAAAGCAAACCUUGAUCACCAGCCCUUGAUCAUGCAACUCAACACCGAAAUCAGAGCAGGAGAUGUGUGAAGGUGGAAGCAAAGAUGGCACAGGGCUGCCUCACUCUCUGUGCUGCUUGGUUGUUGUGUACACAGCCGCUUCUCAAUGAGCCUGGUCAUGAUCUCACCUAUUGUGUGGGUAAGACCUCCAAGAUAGGACCUUGUGAUCAAAAUGUCCGGAAACAUGAGGUCAUGACAUCAAAAGGCCAGUUCUGUGAUGAAAGUAUGGCUUUCAGGUGCCACUGGCUUCAAAGCUCAGCCCUAGAACAAAGGAGAAAUCUAUAUUUGGGGACAUUCAUGCAAAGCAUUACCAUUUGUUGUUCAUCAGAGGUGCUAAAGCAGCUAGAGAUUACCAAAAACAAACAAACAAACAAAAAAAACCCUCAAAGGAACAAGAAGAAAAAGGGAAAGAAAGUUAUCCAGGUCAUGAAUGUAACGUGCUGCAGGAAAAAAAUUUUUUUUUUUUUUUUUUUUACCCCAGAGAGAUUAGCUAAAUCUUUAAACUAGGGAUGUCAUUGCUGAACUCUGUGAUCACCUGCCCAGAACUGCAGGGACUCACUGUGGUAGUGAGUGGCUGACUUUCCCGGGAAAGUUUUUUGUCAUCCUCAUAUUGCUUGUGUUUUUUUACACCACAUCUGUGCUUGCUUCGUCAUUCUGCCAACUGCUGUAACAAAAUACAGACAAAGCAUUUCAGAGAACAACCCCUCCACACUUUAAAAUGCUCCAAGCCGGAGCACAACCUUUUACUUCUCACAAGCUGUAGUGCUUAUUAUCUGAUCCUGCUCCUCCUCCUCUUCCUCCUCCUCCUGCCCCACAUCCAUGAUGAACUACACAAAUUUAACAAGCAUGGAAAGCACAGAAUCCCAUUGCUUUUGCCACAAUGUUUCUAUUAAAUGAAACAAAUGUUCCUGCGCUUGACUUCACUGCGCAAAUGCAUUCGCCGAGAGGUCAGAGAUAGCAGGUCGUUAUAAUGCAAUUUUUAAUUUUGAAACUCCUGAUCAGGCUCGUUUCCUGUUUGGUAUUGUCUGCAGAUACACAAUGCAAAAGCCUUGGGUUACUAAAGAAUUGAAAUAACAGAGUAUGAGCAGAGUGGUUUUGAGCACACACUCUGUAAAGUCCAGUCAAAGUUUCUUCCUGGUGCAGCCGCACAAAUCUCUUGGUAGCAGUAAACUCCCUGCACAGACUUCAUUCCUGAACACAUGUUCAAAGGUGAUAAAAUAAAUGCAGAUGGUUUUCCAAAACCUCAGUGGAGCAUUUUUUGCUGUUACUAAAUGGACUGGAAAAAACUAGGGGGAAAAAGCAGAGAAAAUACAGUUUGACACAGACAGGCAAUUUCAGAAUAGCAUUUGGUCAUUUGGGAGAAAAUCUAAAUAAAAUGUGUGUUUAUAAUGAUCUAUUGGCAAAACAAUAUUGACAGAGCAUCUGAGCUGCCUAAUGGAAGUGAUUUUUAGAAUGCUUAAAUUAAACUGGCGUUGAGAACUGAAUAUUUUGUUUAAUUACUUAACACAAACAAAAAAAAAGACUUGGGUAGGAAUUUUCAAUUCAUUAUGCCAUGACCAAAGUCGACAAUAAAACCAUCCCUGGCUACAGUGAAAAGAGAAUUAGACCUUAACAAAUUUAUUACAGGCUUUGUUUACAAACUUGUUACAAAAUAAUACAGCAUCUUAUGGGUACACAGGAUUUACAGGAACGUGUUACUGAUGUGCGAGAUUGCUUUGCUCUCUGGUCGAGAUCUGCAGGUUUUUCUUCACUUGGGGCCUGAUCCAAUUUCCACCAGAGAAGGUGAGAUUUUUUUUUUUCUUCCCCCACUGACUUUAGUGGAAGCUGGAUCAGAUCCAGGGGGUAACACUUCCGCUCAUUGUUUUCCUGGGGUGGGAAAGAGGCAGCCGGUCUAAUAACCGUACACACCACGCUCCGUUCUCAUCUCAUGUGUUUCAGAUGACAGACAUAUUUACUCUGAGAUAUUUUUGCUGGCUGCUUGUAAAAUAAUUGUUAAAGUCAAAAGGCAAAGACCAGUUCCUGUUACUGGAUUUACAGUGGAAAAUGACAAAUGGCUUUCUUUGAACCUUUAAAGAAUGCGCCUCCCUUGAUUUUCAGUGAGCAGAAAUAAAGGCAUCAGAAUCAACUCUGAUGUUGUCUACAUUGUUACAAAGCUACAUUUUAUUCCCAUCUUCAACAGAUUUUCUCUGGAUUUACAGUAACAAAAUCUGGAGAAAUGGAUUUAUGUAAACAAAAGUGACAUCCACACUGCAGGAACUAGGUAGUUUCUAAUUAAUGGGAUUCCACCAAGCUAAAUUGGUCUUCUUACCUCCACUUCUCGCAUGGAGAUAGACCUAUGUGGCACAGUGACACAAAGAGAUCUCUAAAGUUAGUGAUCCAUAACUAUAUCAGCUCUCAGCUGCUCCCAGCAUCUGCAAAUGAUCUUUAUUUGGGAACUCAGGGUGUAAAAUCAAGCUUUUAAUUUACAAAACAAUCCAGUGUGGCAGAAAAAUAUGCUUUAAAAUAUGCUUAUUUUCCCAAGCCAAAAUGGUUAGUUAAACUUUCCUACUAGGAAAAGUAGCAAAUGCUCUGUGGGGUUGGGCUUUUUUUCUUUUUAAAAUUUUUGCCAAGAAAUGAGAAAUAUUCUAAUCAGAUCUAUCAGAUCCUUGUUAUAUUAUAUUACAUCCUCUCAUUUUAAUGACUGCCUUGGUAUUGAACCUCUGAGGUUGCUUGAACCAAAUUGAUUGAACCAAAGCUAUAAUUUAGUGCUGAAGGUGACAAUAUUUUCUGUGAGGUAAAUAUGUGUGGCCUUAUGGUGAAAAUUAAGAUGGUUCUCAAAAUCUAUGGUUCUGGCCUCCCCUGAAGAAAAUACCCACAUGCUCCAACCUGGCUUUCCAAGACAGGACUGUUCCAGUGCUUGGCCUCAAGGCAACCUGUCCAGCUCCCUGGUGGUUUUAUGGUGUGCAGCACUCUCUGUAAGGGAUUAGAGAAGACCCCACAAUUUGCUGCCUUUCAUGACCUGUUGCAGAUUUGAAGCUGGCUUUCCAGGAGUGAAAGCUGCAUGAGCAAAGGCAUCCUGCAACCUCAUGUUUGAGGGCUCUGAUCUCGUCUCCAUUUGCGAUGCUGAACAUGCUACAGCAGCACAAGCUGUAGCUGUAAAACCCUCAGAAAAAACAUGAGGGUAAAACUUCCUGAAUAACUGGUAUUUCCCAGCCCUGGCUGUGAGUUGGAUCUAUCUGGACAUAGAUAAUGUGCAGCCCAAUCUGAAUUCUGUUCCUAGCCAUGAGCUUUCAUUUACUUCCUGGGACUGGGAUCUUAUCCAGGACAUUGUACAGCUAAUGUCUAAUGGGACAUCUCUUCAAAAAGUGUCAUUAUUCCUGUCCCCAGUGGAGCUAUAUGACAAUCCACAGAAGAGUCUGAGGUAAAUACAUGCUAGCACAUUUGUCUCUCCUAAGCAACAACUCAUGUUUAAUUGGGGAACUUCAGUAUGACUACAGACUUCAUGGAUUUUAUCCACCAUCCAUUUCAUGUUCCUGUGAAAGGUAUCAGGCUUCUCAAGCAGUUCAAAACAUUUCCCCCCCUGUGAAAGAUGGAGAACGGAUUGCUGAGGAGAAGGAAACCUUCGUAUGGGCAUGUGGCUUUGAUAUCCAUGUCAGGAUAUCAUAUCUUUCUUUACCAUUAUUUGCAAGCCUAGGGCUCUUUUAAGGUUAAGACACCUCCAGCUUUGUUUCUAAUUUAAAAACUCAGACAGAGAGGAAUGAUCCAACAAUGCAAGCAGAAGAUAAUUGAUUCAUGUGAGGAGGAAGAGGCUGAUCACAACAAACCAUCUUUUAUGUACUAUAGUAAUGAUCCAUUUAGACCAGUUCUUGGCUUCACCAAGUUUCAGCUACAAAUAUUUCAGAUUUUUUUCAUAUUUUUUCAAUGAUGCACUGUCAGCGUUAGAAACAGUUGCAAAACAAAUGUGCUUCCAAAACA